rnacentral:misc_RNA from 1 species
CAAGUGACCCCGGUCUAACCACCGGGAUGUUCAUAACCCUUGUUGUCCGACUCUGUUGCCUCCGGGGCGACCCUGCCUUCGGGCGGGGGCUCCGGGUGGACACUUCAAACUCUUGCGUAACUUUGCAAGUCUGAGUAAACUUAAUUAAUAAUUA